AGACGGAAAGACCCCGUGAACCUUUACUACAGCUUGGCACUGAACAUUGACCCUACAUGUGUAGGAUAGGUGGGAGGCUUUGAAGCAACCCCUAAUCGGGGUUGCGGACAGUGCCUGGUGGGUAGUUUGACUGGGGCGGUCUCCUCCCAAAGAGUAACGGAGGAGCACGAAGGUGGGCUAAUCACGGUUGGACAUCGUGAGGUUAGUGCAAUGGCAUAAGCCCGCUUGACUGCGAGAAUGACAAUUCGAGCAGGUGCGAAAGCAGGUCAUAGUGAUCCGGUGGUUCUGAAUGGAAGGGCCAUCGCUCAACGGAUAAAAGGUACUCCGGGGAUAACAGGCUGAUACCGCCCAAGAGUUCAUAUCGACGGCGGUGUUUGGCACCUCGAUGUCGGCUCAUCACAUCCUGGGGCUGAAGUCGGUCCCAAGG
rnacentral:rRNA from 1 species